rnacentral:lncRNA from 1 species
CUCCCCCAUAUUAUCUCUUGCUCCUCUUCCCCCUUUCUCGCCACAGCAGAUCGGAAUCGGAGGUCCUCGGUCAUCCGAUCCACCCGCCCCAGCCAGGUCGUACUCCGCCUCCUCCUCGUCGUCAUCUACGGGAUUCUGCUCGCCGCCUCUAUCGCGACCUUCUCCUCCGCGCCGUUCCCCUCCUCACCGACGGGAUCUGAACCGCCGGCCUCACCCGCGAGAACGCCGCCACCUACCUUAGAGAGAACGGCGCCACCGGCCGCAAGGUAAGAACAUCUUAUGCGAAACUUUGUCGUAUUGUCGUACUGGAUACUGUUCAUGUAUUGGUUGCUUGUCCGGAGGAUUCUAGAACGUGAUUACGCAUGUUUGCUCCGUCCAGAUGAUUCAAGCUGAAUAUUAUCCUAGAUGUUGGUUUUUUCUCCAUGAGAUCUGCUAUGUUCCUCUAGAUGCAUCCCAUGCCCGUCCGCUUGAGUACCUACCCUACCCACCAAUUAUUUAUGUUAAUUCAUGAGAUGAAGUGAUGAACUCGAUUCGAUGUGAUGGUCGAUUCUCGUACGUAUUCUCAAUUCCAUGCCUAUACAUUUGAUGCAUGCCUGUCCAGGAUGCUGCAAUCCCUUAGCAUGUGAUGCAUCAUGGAAGUUGCUAGUAAAAUUCCAUGAGAUGGAUUGGGAUUCUUUUCUUUUCAGCCACAUACAAUAUGAUUGCAAGUGCUGAUCAGUGUUGGUUAGUAUAUUUGAUAUGCAAACAUGUGUGUCUUCUAGCCGGACGAUACAUACAAGCAAGAUCGAUUCAUAUGAUGGAUCUUUUUUUGUUGGCUGCUGCUACUAGUACACUAGAUGUCUGUGAUUUAAUUUAUAUGCUGCAGCCAAGCAUCUUAAUUUAUAUGAUAUCUAUAUAUCUUAACACUUGAAGUAUUCUUGUUUUUUUGCCCGUCAUCAUUUUAGAUUCUGACUGUCAUACACAGUCAGCUCGGUGGAUGAUAUCUAGAUUUGUUUUGAACACUGUAUUAUAUAAUUUAUAUUAGCACAUUGUCAUUUGCAGUGAACUGUUAGCACACUGUGCUAAGAAAAUUUUCUUUUCUUUCUGUUAUAGAUCAUCACAGGUUAUUGGGUCAAUGUUAGGCCCCGGGCGGCGGGUUCAUAUGAGCGAAAUAUGAAAUCAAUAGGUACUCUAUUUUCCUUUAACAUUAGUUUCUGUGACUGGUUCAUGUGUGCUGAGCUCCUGUAUGUGAACAUAUAUGCAAACCAUGUGUAUUAGUUUCUAUCACUACUAUGUUAAUGAUGGCAGUUUAGAUAUCCCUGUGUUAGAUAUUUAUCAUAUUUAGAAGAUGAUCAAAUUUUCUUGAUUCAUUUGUAGCUCAUUGUCGGAUUAAUUAUGAUGCUGCUGCUGGAGAUGGACAUGCUGUUAAAUUUUUUCCUGGAGCUUGAAAUCCUUGAAGUGCUUACCAUGUUUUUUUUUUGAAAUGGAAGUGCUUACCAUGUACUCUCUUUUAUAAACUAAAACACCUGUGGCUAGCAAAGGAAUUGGGAGGUUGUCUUUGUGAUCAUCUACUCUUACAAGUAGCAACUGCUGAUAUACAAUUGCAGCCUUGAUCCUUUUAUGUGUCACACCAACCGUUAUUUUUCUGAACUUAGUUUCAUAACAGCUUGUCCUGUACAUGGAUUUUGGCAAGCAAUGCUUUAUUUGUGGAUCCAUUCAGCAGCGAGGUUAUGUUAUCUGUAUCUAGUCUUAUUUAUUUCUGAAAAACCUGCAUUUUGUAGGACACCUAUGAGACUGGUUCAGAAAAACAGUAAGUUAAAGGAUGAGGUACGGUCACUGAAGGUACACUUUUUUUUACUGUUUUUUCUUUGACUGAAGGUACACUCAUCUUGCUAACUAAGUUUUUCACUAUUUGUGUGGAGUACGACUAUGCAUUGUGAAUUUGUGAUGUUCGCUCUAUCUGAAGAAACACCUUAUAUUCGUAUUGCACUAUUCUUUCCCUUGAAUUAGGCAUCGCAAAGUCAGCGCCAAUUUUCAUCUAAAUUAUGGUCUGAAAUCAUGCACGCCAUUAUCAUUGCUUAUUGCUUACUCUAUUUUUGGUUGGAUUCACUACUCAGUGCUCACUCUCUGUUGUUGGUCGAUUCUAUUGUGGUAGAAGCAACGCGGUGCUUAACGAUGGGGUGCUGGGGCGGAAGCAAUUGGAUACUCUGAGCUGGAGCAGAUGGUAUGCCGUGCUCAGCGACCACACGCCGGAGUGCGAGGGAUGAGCCAGAUGCUGGAGCAGAGACGAUGUCGGAUCACGGCCGUGGCGACCGAUCAGCUGGAUCACGGCGCAGACGAUGGACUAGUUUAGCAGAAUUCAAAUUCGUGUAUCAAGGGUAGAAAUGUCCAGCCAUUUCAUUUGCUUGUCCGCUUUACUUUGUUGCAUGAUCCAAAGAACUAGAUGGACUUGACUUUAGAUCACGGGCAGUUUAGUCUUGGCACUUAAUUAGGAUGGCUAAAUUAUAUUUGAGUUUCAUUUGAUGGUUUUUUACUGUGAGAAUUAUGAUUUUUAUGAAUCUACAUAUUAUAUGUAUGGUUUU